rnacentral:misc_RNA from 1 species
GGAAAACUGAGGUAGAAGUUCACUUUGUGUCCUGCAUUUGAUUAGCUGCAAUUGCAUACAACUUUAUCCUGCACUUAUCUAAACUAUCUUGUCCAUAAUUGUGGUAAUUUCCUUUAUUAUAGACAGAUUACAGAUUUUAAGCAUAAAAAGUGACAUGUGGUUCCAAGGUGGCUCUCUCUAUGGAUAGUUGUUUCCUCCAGAUCUAAUAUACAGCAGUAACUUGUCUAACAUGGCAUUAUCAUAUAACUAAUAUUUCAUCAUUGCUUUCUACUUUUUUUAAACCAACCAUUGGGCUCAACAUUUAAUUCAUCUCCUUGAAGCUAGUUUCUCCAAUAUGCAUAUGUAAGAAUGUAACAUGUGUGCGCUUUAUAUUUUAGGAUUUUAAUAAGAAUUUUAAAGAUAAGAGUAUGUACUGUAUAAGCUUGUGUCAAGGCUCCUUACAUUUGAUGUCUUUAUAAUUGGUGCAUAAAUGGGAUCUUGGCUUCUAGAUCUAAAUUCCAACCAAUAUUUCAUCAUUGUUGGUUUCAUAAAUUUUUGCAUGCAUAUAUUGGAUUGUAAUCAUAUUUGCCCUUGUUUCAGGUCAA